UUCGACUUCUCAGCCAGAGGCUCAGACCCCCACCCACUCUUGCGUCUGAUAGAAGGAAGCCAAGGGGUGGCCCAUGGUUCCUGGGCGGGCGCCUGUGUGAUUCUGUGCCCAGAUCGCCGGAGCCCCCAUCGGCGACAGCAACUAGUGCGAGGAGGAGGCAGCGGCGUCCUCGACUGGGGGAAGUUCUUCUUUUGCUUCUUUUUCAGCUUUGAAAGCUCCAUAUUUGAGACAGUAAUAUUUUGAUUUGCUUUACAACGGUAAUGUAAUACUUUUUGUAGAACUGUUUAUAUUCCUUUUCUUGUACGGUAAGCCAUGAUUGAAUAAGUUUUUUAUUUUGUGCACUAUGACCUAGUGUUGCUGGUGUAUGAGCAUAUCAUGAACUAGUGUGAUCAUCCUAGAGUUAAUAUGUUUGUUCUAAGGGGUGUUGAACUGUUGAUUCUUGAAAAUAAUAUCUUUAUAUUUGAUUUGAUUUGCCAAGAUGCUUUUGUAUAUGAUUAAAAAAUUAAAACUUGUAGCAGUUUUUGGCUGGUUAGGGAGUAGUGCUAUUUUUUUGCUAGAUUAUUGAACUCUCCCUCCCUCCCUAGUUUUGUGUAUGUGUCUUUGUGGAUCACCUAGAGCUUAAUCAUAAUUUCACACAGUUAGGUGCAUAGAAUUAGUCAGUUAGAAGAACUAAAUUUAUACUAUUCCAGGAUGUGUCAUAUUUAUGUUCUGACAUUCAAGCAAAUUAUUUUUCAAUAUCAUGUCUGUUGUAGCAAAUUAUUUUUUAUGACUAUGCAUGCAUUCUGCAUCAUAAUGGUUUGAAUCACAGUAUGUUGAUGUUUGUGUCCCCAAACUAAUAUAGAUUGGUGUAUGUUUGUACUACCUUUUCUUGCUGCUUCGUUUGCUAGAUGAGUCAACCUGCACGUGGUAAUUUCUAUGAUGAUGUCCAAGAUGAUCAUGAGUAUUUAGACUCAUUUAAGAGAGAUACUGAUGAUGAAAAUUAUGAGGGAGCUCCAAAUGACAAUGCACACAAUCAUAGUUCUGGUUUUGUCCAUUUGAGUUCACUUGAUGAUGAUGCACUUUUUAAUAUGCUAAAGAAAUCAGUAAGUUAUCUUUUUUGCAUACAGGUUAGCUCGGGUUCUAGAUCUUCAAAAAUUAUCAGUAUGAUGGACGCUCUUGCUCCAUCCUUCCGUCUGCUUGAAGAAUUUGAUGACAAUGAUAAUUUCAUUGAUGAUCCACACAAACGUAGAGCUGCUGGCUUACCUUGCGAUGGGAAUACAAUCUAUGAUUAUCCCACAUGUGUGCCAUAUCAUGAUGAGGAGCACACUAUGCCAAACUCUGAAAUUCCAGCUCCCACCCACAGCACAAGCCAUUGUAAGCCCGCAAACACCCCAAGUAUUGCCGAUGAGCCACCAGGUGACGGCAUCAAUGCUGAUCAUCAUCAGGAUAGCCCUGCUUUCGAUAGAACACCAGAUGCAAAUUAUGACUCGUCACGCGAAGCAAUUCCACUGGCAGCUGUUGACAUUCAAGGCCGUCUCAUAUUACUAGUAUGUUUGUUCCUUUUUAUUUUAAUGCUACUUAAAAUAUAUCUUGUUAUACUUCUAAAUGGUUGUGGUCAUAUCAGAUCUGAUAAUCCCCAUAUUUUUCAUAGUUUCACUAGUUGAUUUUUUUAUAUUAACUCUGCCUAGAAUAUACAUUUCGCCCUUAGUUGAAGUUGUGUACCUGAAUUUGUGUAGUACAAGUUAGGAUCUGCUGACUAUUUUUGUAACAAUGUUAUCCAUUUUUCUCAAUGCUUAUGUGUGUCUCUCUCUAUCACUCUAUGCAACACAUAGUAGUUGCAGGUUUUGUUGGUGGUAAAACUUAUCUUAGUGGAUUUUUGGGUUUAUUUUUU